rnacentral:rRNA from 1 species
GAUGAACGCUGGCGGCGUGCCUAAUACAUGCAAGUCGAGCGAACAGACGAGGAGCUUGCUCCUCUGACGUUAGCGGCGGACGGGUGAGUAACACGUGGAUAACCUACCUAUAAGACUGGGAUAACUUCGGGAAACCGGAGCUAAUACCGGAUAAUAUAUUGAACCGCAUGGUUCAAUAGUGAAAGACGGUUUUGCUGUCACUUAUAGAUGGAUCCGCGCCGCAUUAGCUAGUUGGUAAGGUAACGGCUUACCAAGGCAACGAUGCGUAGCCGACCUGAGAGAGUGAUCGGCCACACUGGAACUGAGACGCGGUCCAGACUCCUACGGGAGGCAGCAGUAGGGAAUCUUCCGCAAUGGGCGAAAGCCUGACGGAGCAGCGCCGCGUGAGUGAUGAAGGUCUUCGGAUCGUAAAACUCUGUUAUUAGGGAAGAACAAAUGUGUAAGUAACUAUGCACGUCUUGACGGUACCUAAUCAGAAAGCCACGGCUAACUACGUG